rnacentral:rRNA from 1 species
GACGAACGCUGGCGGCGUGCCUAAUACAUGCAAGUAGAACGCUGAAGAGAGGAGCUUGCUCUUCUUGGAUGAGUUGCGAACGGGUGAGUAACGCGUAGGUAACCUGCCUGGUAGCGGGGGAUAACUAUUGGAAACGAUAGCUAAUACCGCAUAAAAUUGAUUAUUGCAUGAUAAUUAAUUGAAAGAUGCAACUGCAUCACUACCAGAUGGACCUGCGUUGUAUUAGCUAGUUGGUGAGGUAACGGCUCACCAAGGCGACGAUACAUAGCCGACCUGAGAGGGGGAUCGGCCACACUGGGACUGAGACACGGCCCAGACUCCUACGGGAGGCAGCAGUAGGGAAUCUUCGGCAAUGGGGGGAACCCUGACCGAGCAACGCCGCGUGAGUGAAGAAGGUUGUCGGAUCGUAAAGCUCUGUUGUAAGAGAAGAACGGGUGUGAGAGUGGAAAGUUCACACUGUGACGGUAGCUUACCAGAAAGGGACGGCUAACUACGUG